GACGUAGGGCGCGAGCGUUGUCCGGAUUUAUUGGGCGUAAAGAGCUCGUAGGCGGCUUGUCGCGUCGUUCGUGAAAACCCGGGGCUCAACUCCGGGCUUGCGGGCGAUACGGGCAGGCUAGAGUUCGGUAGGGGAGACUGGAAUUCCUGGUGUAGCGGUGAAAUACGCAGAUAUCAGGAAGAAUAUCCGUGGCGAAGGCGGCUCUCUGGGACGGUACUGACGCUGAGACGCGAAAGCGUGGGGAGCGAACAGG
rnacentral:rRNA from 1 species